UUGUCUUUUAAAUAAAGACUAGUAUGAAUGGCUAAAUGAGGACAGAACUGUCUCUUACAAUUGACCAGUGAAACUGAUCUUCAAGUCCAAAAGCUUGAAUAAACACAUAAGACGAGAAGACCCUGUGGAGCUUCAAACCCUUACUAUAGUCAACCAAAAUAGCACUGGUUUUAAGUUGGGGCGACUUCGGAACACAACCUAACUUCCGAGCACAGAGCCACCACGCUCUUACCAAGACUAACAGGUCAAAGAAAAAUCCGACCCAGUCAUACUGACCAACGAACCAAGUUACCCCAGGGAUAACAGCGCUAUCUUCUUCAAGAGUCCCUAUCGACAAGAAGGUUUACGACCUCGAUGUUGGAUCAGGACACCCAAAUGGUGCAGCAACUAUUAAAGGUUCGUUUGUUCAACGAUU
rnacentral:rRNA from 1 species